rnacentral:tRNA from 1 species
CAGAGAGUAGUUUAAUUAAAAUAUUAAUUUUGGAGAUUAAUGAUAGAGGUAAGGCUCUCUCUCUGA